rfam:Candidatus Syntrophoarchaeum caldarius isolate BOX2 BOX2_8_reassembly_contig01, whole genome shotgun sequence.
GGACUCGUGGGGUAGCGGACUAUCCUCUUGGGCUCCGGAUCCAAGAACCCGGGUUCAAAUCCCGGCGAGUCCG